rnacentral:rRNA from 1 species
UACGUGGGGCGCAAGCGUUAUCCGGAAUUAUUGGGCGUAAAGAGCUCGUAGGCGGUUUGUCGCGUCUGCCGUGAAAGUCCGGGGCUCAACUCCGGAUCUGCGGUGGGUACGGGCAGACUAGAGUGAUGUAGGGGAGACUGGAAUUCCUGGUGUAGCGGUGAAAUGCGCAGAUAUCAGGAGGAACACCGAUGGCGAAGGCAGGUCUCUGGGCAUUAACUGACGCUGAGGAGCGAAAGCGUGGGGAGCGAACAGG